rnacentral:rRNA from 1 species
UGCAGUCGAGCGGUAGAGAGAAGCUUGCUUCUCUUGAGAGCGGCGGACGGGUGAGUAAUACCUAGGAAUCUGCCUGAUAGUGGGGGAUAACGUUCGGAAACGGACGCUAAUACCGCAUACGUCCUACGGGAGAAAGCAGGGGACCUUCGGGCCUUGCGCUAUCAGAUGAGCCUAGGUCGGAUUAGCUAGUUGGUGAGGUAAUGGCUCACCAAGGCUACGAUCCGUAACUGGUCUGAGAGGAUGAUCAGUCACACUGGAACUGAGACACGGUCCAGACUCCUACGGGAGGCAGCAGUGGGGAAUAUUGGACAAUGGGCGAAAGCCUGAUCCAGCCAUGCCGCGUGUGUGAAGAAGUCUUCGGAUUGUAAAGCACUUUAAGUUGGGAGGAAGGGCAGUUACCUAAUACGUGACUGUCUUGACGUUACCGACAGAAUAAGCACCGGCUAACUCUGUGCCAGCAGCCGCGGUAAUACAGAGGGUGCAAGCGUUAAUCGGAAUUACUGGGCGUAAAGCGCGCGUAGGUGGUUUGUUAAGUUGAAUGUGAAAUCCCCGGGCUCAACCUGGGAACUGCAUCCAAAACUGGCAAGCUAGAGUAUGGUAGAGGGUAGUGGAAUUUCCUGUGUAGCGGUGAAAUGCGUAGAUAUAGGAAGGAACACCAGUGGCGAAGGCGACUACCUGGACUGAUACUGACACUGAGGUGCGAAAGCGUGGGGAGCAAACAGGAUUAGAUACUCUGGUAGUCCACGCCGUAACGAUGUCAACUAGCCGUUGGGAGUCUUGAACUCUUAGUGGCGCAGCUAACGCAUUAAGUUGACCGCCUGGGGAGUACGGCCGCAAGGUUAAAACUCAAAUGAAUUGACGGGGGCCCGCACAAGCGGUGGAGCAUGUGGUUUAAUUCGAAGCAACGC